rfam:Trichobilharzia regenti genome assembly, scaffold: TRE_scaffold0009308
GUACUACUGAAGAGUCCAAGACUAGGACGAAACGGCUGUCCAGUAC